UACAAAAAGGUGAGUCUUUAGUGGGCAGU
rnacentral:piRNA from 1 species